UUUAGCUGUUUUCUCUCAUCUAUUUCCUUUGAAUGUUUUUUUUUUAUCAUUUAAAAAUCUUAACGUGGUUGAGUUCUUUGUCAUUAGGUUUCAUAUUUUUCAAACUGAGUGUAUGCUUCAGAAGAAGCUAGAGCAGAGGCUUUGGGGAAGCAGAAAAAUUGGAAUCUGAUUUAGGCCCUAAUUUCCCUGUCUUCAUCAAGUUCAUGUUUCGGAUCGCUUGAUUUUCCAGCUAAACCUCUUCUCAUUAUGAAUCAAAAGAAUUGAACUCCAAUUUUAAAUUUUUUACUGGUAGUACUGCAAUCUCUGGAUUAGACAUAGGAUUUAAAACAAGUUUCUGAUUCAGGUAAGCUGUUAAUUUAUUUUAUUGAUUUGUUUUUAUUUUAUAUUUCUUUGAUGGAAAUUCUACAUGUUUAGCAGGUAUUGGAUAUGUCAAGUCAAAGAAAUUCAUCUAGGCGAAGUUCAUCAAUGGUAAACUUGUCGUCGACAAGGAAUAGAUUACCGGAGAUGGAGGUUCGAACAACAGCUGAAAACUCGUAUCAUCUUCUUGUCCUAUGUUUACAUUAUAAGGGUGAACUGUUUCGAACAAAGUAACUAGCUAUUAGCUUUGAGUAAUUUGGAUUGUGGAGCCAUACUAGCAGUUUCAGUUCAGGUGAUACAUGGUUCAACGGAAUUUUCAUGGUUUCGCUAUCUUAAGGUUUUGUUUGGAAGCAUAUGGUUACUCUUUUUGUUCAUAGAUUUACUUGACACAAAGACUUGCAAUGGAUGACAACAUCCCUUGUAAGAAAUCAUGCAUCUGGAAAAAACUUAUUUAUGGUGAUUGUCAGGUUUUUGAGACCUUUGUUGGUUCUAUUUCUGCAGGUGUUGGAGUUGGAUUUGUUUCUGCUCUAAUAUCCUUACUGAUCAACUUUAUAUUUAUAUUCCACGUUUGAUACUAUAAAUUACAAGCUAUUAUUGUUAUACCUUUAAACCUUAACUCCUAGAAACUCUUUAAGUAUGCUGGAUUAGAUGUUGACAAUUUUCAGAACUUGGAGUGUUGUCUCUAUCACUGGAGGUUUAGCAGUCCUGAAAGUAAUUAAAAAAAAAAGCUAUAGGAGUGCAAAGAUAUUCUUUAAAGCUAUGAAAGUUUAGUUUGUUAGCUUUGAACUUAAUAUUCUUUAAAGAUAUCAUGUACGAUGAAUGAUGAUAAAAUGUUUUCUUUAAUAAAUUACUUUCAUAUUCUUUA